rnacentral:lncRNA from 1 species
AUGAAUCCUGGCAUGAACAAGGCUGUGAGCUCUGAGAGGAAGCUGCCUGGUGGUCUUUGGGAUACCUUACCUUUAUCAGCCAUUGUUCCUGAGAGGGGGAGUGUUUCCCCCAAAUCCACUGGGAAAGAAGGAGUGUUUGUUGUGACUGGAAAUCUGAAAAGCCGAGAAGUUUCACCUCUCGGACAUGCCCCAAUUAAUAACUAGUUCAACACCUAUUAUCUUAGAAUGGGCAGAAAUCACCUGUUAUUACUUGAUUCGGGAGUUCAGGAAGAAGAGGGCUAAAGGGGCUAUUUCAAGAACCUCCUCAUUCUGAAGCUGCACAGCCCACAGGUGCUCACCUGCCUUCCUUUCUGCUCUUUUGAAUCCAGGCCUCUGAAGCAUCACCUAGCUCUCCGCUCACCACAGACACCAACUUUCUCUGUAUCCUUUCCAGGAUCCCCAAGUGCCUUCCUUCUUUAGAGCCCCCAGGACUCAGGUACGAGGCCAACCGGGCUCCCAACCACGCUCAAGAAAUUUGGGGAACACACUUGGGUCACCAGACUUAAAGAAAGGCGCCAUACUCUAGGAUCAAAAAACAAUCUACAUGUCCAACAUCUGGAGAGAUGGCACAGUAAUUAAUGUAAGCCAUGGCACCUCAAGGGCCACCAUGAAAAUAGCCUUGGCUUUGAGGCCCCUUUGUGAAUAGCGUCUGCUUAAACUCAGGAGCCCCCACCAACGUUUUCACUUCUUCAAGUCAACCAGAAGGCACGUGUAGGUUGCACAGGUCACUCCUCUGCUCAAGGAGUUCCAAUGGCUCCCUCUUACCUCCAGGAUAAGACAUGAACCCCUUUGCUUUUUUGUCAUCAGAAGCUCCUGACCAUCUGGCUCCCAACUGCCUUUCCAUGAUUCUCCUGGUCAAGUUGCUGUCAUGGUCCUAGAGUGGGAGGACCUGAGCUCAAAUCCCACCUCUGAUACUUGCUGUCUGUGUGACCUUGGGCAAAUCAACCUCCCUGGGCCUCAGUUUCCACAUCU